rnacentral:misc_RNA from 1 species
GGGCGGCCAUAUUUUGAGUUGUUGAAAUUUUCAUCCAGUGUGGAUUUAAUGUUGAUCAUGCGUUAAGUGCCAUGAAUCAAUCAAUAAAAGUGUGUUCGAAGUUAUGGAUCUGCUUGGGCUCUUUGUCGAAAUAGCAGUCAUUGUAGAUUUUUGGAAUAGGGUGUGCAUCUGCUAGUAAAUUUUUUGUGAUUAGUUUAUCGUUUUCUGGUGGGUGUUCAUAUCUUGAAAGGUCGCUUUGCUUCUGCCCAUAGUCAUGCUUAAAGAGAUUGCAGUAGGGGCUCAUCUU